rnacentral:lncRNA from 1 species
CAGUUUCCUGAGUGUCUCAAGUAGUUUAUUCUUGGGGUUCUUUAAAAAAAAAUGCCUAUGAGAAGCCUUGUUUAGCAGACUUCCAGUUAGCCAUGACGGAUACAGUAAAUGACGCCCUGGAAGAAAUGAUCACCAGUCAUUUUUUUAGCAGGAAGCAUUAUUUAAGAGACAAGCCGAGGGCUGGAGAGACAGCUCAGUGGUUAAGAACACUGACUGCUCUUCCAGAAGAUCCGAGUUCAUUUCUCAGCAACCUCAUGGUGCUUCAUAGCUACCUCUGACUCCAGUUGCAGGGGGGUCUGACAAUCUCACACAGACAUAUAUGCAGGUAAUAGUGAUGCAUGUAAAACAAAAAUACAUUAUAAGAGAGAGAGAGAUCCAGCUAUAGGAGAGACAAAGACAGACUGCUUCUUCAAGGCUAACCUAAUCCAUAUAGAGAGUUCUAGACAAGCAAAGGUUACUUUCUUAAUGAGACUCUGGCUC